GCUGGGUUAGAUCAAUCAGUAGAGCGUGUGGCUCUUAAAAAAAGACCACCUCAAGGGCGGGUUCAAGUCCCGCAUCCAGCU